CAUGCACCAGUGGGGUCCCUCAGCCUGGCCUGUGGGAUGAGGCUGAAACUGGCUCUCUGACAUCCCCUGAUGGGUUGCAGAUUGGAAGAGGGCACAGGCCAGGCCGAGGGACCCCACCGGUGCACA
rnacentral:pre_miRNA from 1 species